rnacentral:rRNA from 1 species
AUUGAACGCUGGCGGCAUGCCUUACACAUGCAAGUCGAACGGUAACGCGGGGCAACCUGGCGACGAGUGGCGAACGGGUGAGUAAUGCAUCGGAACGUAUCCGAUAGUGGGGGAUAGCUCGGCGAAAGCCGGAUUAAUACCGCAUACGAUCUACGGAUGAAAGCGGGGGCUCGCAAGACCUCGCGCUGACGGAGCGGCCGAUGUCAGAUUAGGUUGUUGGUGGGGUAAAAGCCUACCAAGCCUGCGAUCUGUAGCUGGUCUGAGAGGGCGACCAGCCACACUGGGACUGAGACACGGCCCAGACUCCUACGGGAGGCAGCAGUGGGGAAUUUUGGACAAUGGGCGCAAGCCUGAUCCAGCCAUGCCGCGUGCGGGAGAAGGCCUCGG